rnacentral:tRNA from 1 species
GCGGGCGUGGCGAAACUGGUAGACGCACGGCACUCAAAAUGCCGCUCCCAAAAGGAAUGUCGGUUCGAUUCCGACCGCCCGCACCA